GGGGAUUUAGCUCAGUGGCAUAAGCACCUGUCUUGAAAGCAGGCGGUCGUGAGUUCGAUCCCUG
rnacentral:tRNA from 1 species